UGGGGAAUAUUGCACAAUGGGCGAAAGCCUGAUGCAGCAACGCCGCGUGAGUGAUGAAGGUCUUCGGAUUGUAAAGCUCUGUCUUUUGGGACGAUAAUGACGGUACCAAAGGAGGAAGCCACGGCUAACUACGUGCCAGCAGCCGCGGUAAUACGUAGGUGGCGAGCGUUGUCCGGAUUUACUGGGCGUAAAGGGUGCGUAGGCGGAUGUUUAAGUGAGAUGUGAAAUACCCGGGCUUAACUUGGGUGCUGCAUUUCAAACUGGAUAUCUAGAGUGCAGGAGAGGAGAAUGGAAUUCCUAGUGUAGCGGUGAAAUGCGUAGAGAUUAGGAAGAACACCAGUGGCGAAGGCGAUUCUCUGGACUGUAACUGACGCUGAGGCACGAAAGCGUGGGUAGCAAACAGGAUUAGAUACCCUGGUAGUCCACGCCGUAAACGAUGAGUACUAGGUGUAGGAGGUAUCGACCCCUUCUGUGCCGCAGUAAACACAUUAAGUACUCCGCCUGGGAAGUACCGAUCGC
rnacentral:rRNA from 1 species